GCCGGGCGUGCUGGCAUGUGCCUGUAAUCCCAGUUACUCGGGAGGCUGAGGCAGGAGAAUCGCUUGAGCCCAGGAGGCAGAGGUUGCAGUGAGCUGAGAUUGCACCACUGCACUCCAGCUUGGGCGACAGAGUGAGACCCUGUCUCAA
ensembl:misc_RNA Metazoa_SRP Metazoan signal recognition particle RNA